CUGGUGGCGGGAUGGUACACUAAACUCCCUACAGUUGCCAGGUAGACAUAUGGGCUCCAUUAAUAACAUCCCGGCCACCUCACUCCCCGCCUCCUCCCCUCCCACACCGGCCUCCCUCACGGCGCUUCCCUCCCCAGUCGUCGUCCCGCUCGUGAAAGGGCACGGCGGCGGCGCAGCGGAGGGGUGAAACGGAGCGGUGUGCCUCGGUAGCGCCCACCCGAUCCCAGCACCACGCGAACACCGCCACCAAGAGUCCCUCAGUGCCGUGACCUGCCGGCUUCGGAUGUUCGGUUGACGGAGCGCGGGCGUCACUCCCUCGAGGAAACAAGGGUGGAGCGUUAUGGAUAAUCAUUGGAAAACCGUCCCCAGCCUCGUUUCGUCUUCGCGUCACCUCGGUUCGUUGCUGUCUGUCUCGCUCCUUCUGACCAUUUGCAGGGAGAAGACAGGACUGGCCCUUGAGGAGACUAGGAUCUCCCUAACCCUGAAGUACCCAGCGUGGAGGAAUGAAGCCAGACGUUCCCUCCCCUGCUGGACACCGCUUGAGUCUUCACCAACUCGACCCUUGCAUCAAGCGAGUCAUGACACCACGUGCUGCAGCCUGCGAAGACACUGAAAAGUAACACUUUACCCUUAAAGUGAGUCAUGCAAAUGAACUCUACUUCUACGACUGGUGUCACUGUACACUCCUCCUUUAGUGCGAAAGCAGAUGUAGGUCUAAUAUAAAAUGUUGCUUACCAUA